AACGAACGCUGGCGGCAUGCCUAACACAUGCAAGUCGAACGAGACCUUCGGGUCUAGUGGCGCACGGGUGCGUAACGCGUGGGAAUCUGCCCUGGGGUGCGGAAUAACUCGGAGAAAUCCGUGCUAAUACCGCAUAAUGUCUUCGGACCAAAGAUUUAUCGCCCUGGGAUGAGCCCGCGUAGGAUUAGCUAGUUGGUGGGGUAAAGGCCUACCAAGGCGACGAUCCUUAGCUGGUCUGAGAGGAUGAUCAGCCGCACUGGGACUGAGACACGGCCCAGACUCCUACGGGAGGCAGCAGUGGGGAAUAUUGGACAAUGGGCGAAAGCCUGAUCCAGCAAUGCCGCGUGAGUGAUGAAGGCCCUAGGGUUGUAAAGCUCUUUUACCCGGGAUGAUAAUGACAGUACCGGGAGGAAUAAGCUCCGGCUAACUCCGUGCCAGCAGCCGCGGUAAU
rnacentral:rRNA from 1 species